CAGAAACUCAAAGGAAUUGACGGGGGCCCGGCACAAGCGGUGGAGCAUGUGGUUUAAUUUCGAAGCAACGCGAAGAACCUUACCAGGCCUUGACAUGCAGAGAAACUUUCCAGAGAUGGAUUUGGUGCCUUCGGGAACUCUGACACAGGUGCUGCAUGGCUGUCGUCAGCUCGUGUCGUGAGAUGUUGGGUUAAGUCCCGUAACGAGCGCAACCCUUGUCCUUAGUUACCAGCACGUUAUGGUGGGCACUCUAAGGAGACUGCCGGUGACAAACCGGAGGAAGGCGGGGAUGACGUCAAAUCAGCACGGCCCUUACGUCCAGGGCUACACACGUGCUACAAUGGCCGAUACAGAGGGCAGCUACCUGGUGACAGGAUGCAAAUCUCCAAAGUCGGUCUCAGUUCGGAUCGGAGUCUGCAACCCGACUCCGUGAAGUUGGAUUCGCUAGUAAUCGCGCAUCAGCCAUGGCGCGGUGAAUACGUUCCCGGGCCUU
rnacentral:rRNA from 1 species